rnacentral:lncRNA from 1 species
CUGCUCUUGGCCAUGGCGCCUAGCCACAAACUUUCCAGGCAGAAGGGCGCUCAGGUUCCGAGGCUGGACCAGGGGACGUCUACAUGUCACCUGCUUCAAGCCUGGCUCCCUGCCUCGUGGUCCCAGUGCCGCCUGUCCGAGACCCGGGUAGCUGGAUGGGAGAUUUCCGAAAGAGGAGAAGGUGUAGGUGCCCGGGGAGGGAGCGCCCGUCCGGACUCUACAGGGGUUCGAAUCCUGGCUCUGCCAUUUGGUAGCUGUCUGGACUUGGAGACAGGGUCUCUCUAUGUUAUCCAGACUGACUUUGAACUCCUGGGUUCAAGAGAUCCUCCUGCUUCAGCCUACCAAAGUGCCAAGAUUACAGGCAUGAGCCACUGCACCUGACCCAGCUUUACUCUUAAUAGCUUUAUUCUUAAAAACUGGAAAUGACCCAAAUGUCCUUCAGCCUGAAUGGUUAAACAAACUGUGGUACACCCAUACCAUGGCAUGCUGCUCAGCAAUCCAAAGGAACAAACUAUCGAUACAUACAACAACCAGGAUGGAUCUCAAGAGAAUUACGCGUAGUGAAAAAAGCCAAUCUCAGAAGGUUACAUACUGAAAGAUUCCCUUUCUCUCCCCUCCCCUCCCUUCCCCCACCCCUGCUCCCCCCUCCCCCUCCUUCCUUUUGAGACAGGGUCUUGCUCUGUCACACAGGCUAGAGUGCACUGGCGGGAUCAUGGCUCACUGCAGACUCUGUCUCCCAGGAUCAAGUGAUCCUCCCACUUCAACCUACCGAGUAGCUGAGACUACAGGCAUGCGCCACCACGCCUGGAUAACUUUUGUAUUUUUUUGUAGAGACAGGAUUGCAUCAUGUUGCCCAGGCUAGUGUCAAACUCCUGGAGUCAAACGAUCCUCCUGCCUCGGCCUCUCAAAGUGUUGGAAUUACAGGCGUGGCCACCGUGGCUGGCCAAUUCCAUUUCUCUAACAUCCUUGACAUGUCAAAAUUAUACAGAUGAAGAACAGAGGAAUGGUUGUCAGGGCUUAGGGAGGGGAGAAGCAGGAGACCAGUAUGCCUCUAAGUGAACCUUGUGAUGAACUGUUCUGUAUUUUGACUAUAGUGGUUGUCACAUAAAUAUACCUGAGGCAAGGCUGCAUAGAACUAAAUAUACACACACACACACAUACCCAUGAAUGCAUGUUAGAAUGGUGAAAUCUGAGUGAGUUCAGUGGGUUGUAUCAAUGCCAACUUUCUGAUUGUGAUAUUGUACUAUAGUUACGCAAGAUGUUACCACUGGAGAAAACUGGGUGGAAGGGAUAUGGGAUCUCUCUGUAUUGGUCCUUAAACUGCAUGUAAAUCUACAGUUAUCUCAAAAAUUAAAAUGUAAUCUAGGCCGGG